rnacentral:rRNA from 1 species
GCAUAAUAGCUUCGGCUCAAAGAGGGGGACCUUCGGGCCUCUCGCGUCAGGAUAUGCCCAGGUGGGAUUAGCUAGUUGGUGAGGUAAGGGCUCACCAAGGCAACGAUCCCUAGCUGGUCUGAGAGGAUGAUCAGCCACACUGGAACUGAGACACGGUCCAGACUCCUACGGGAGGCAGCAGUGGGGAAUAUUGCACAAUGGGCGCAAGCCUGAUGCAGCCAUGCCGCGUGUAUGAAGAAGGCCUUCGGGUUGUAAAGUACUUUCAGUUGUGAGGAAGGUGGUGCCGUUAAUAGCGGUAUCAUUUGACGUUAGCAACAGAAGAAGCACCGGCUAACUCCGUG